UACGGGGGGCGCAAGCGUUGCUCGGAAUCACUGGGCGUAAAGCGUCCGCAGGCGGCUUGGUAAGUCGGGUGUGAAAGCCCGGGGCUCAACCCCGGAACUGCAUUCGAAACUGCCUCGCUCGAGUACGGGAGAGGAUGGCGGAAUUCCUGGUGUAGAGGUGAAAUUCGUAGAUAUCAGGAGGAACACCGGUGGCGAAAGCGGCCAUCUGGCCCGAUACUGACGCUCAUGGACGAAAGCGUGGGGAGCAAACAGG
rnacentral:rRNA from 1 species